GCGCCCGUAGCUCAGUGGCAGAGCACCCGCCUUUUAAGCGGUAGGCCGUGGGUUCGACCCCCACCGGGCACU
rnacentral:tRNA from 1 species